rnacentral:rRNA from 1 species
UCGAAACCUGCUCAGCAGAACGACCCGCGAACAUGUUCAAUCAACGAGGGGUCCAAGGUGGGUUUUCGCCCGCGUUGGCCCUUCAAAAGGCUUCUGCACGGGGACCGGGGUGCGUAGGCUCGCCCUAUCCCCCGGCUUCCCUUAGCAGCAGCCUCCUAACAAACCCCCGGCGCGGAAAGCGCCAAGGAACCGUAAACGAAAAGAUCGGCCGCCCGAAUUGCCCCGGAAACGGUGCGCAAAAGGGACGCGCCGUGAUUUGAGAAUCUAAACGACUCUCGGCAACGGAUAUCUCGGCUAUCGCAUCGAUGAAGAACGCAGCGAAAUGCGAUACUUGGUGUGAAUUGCAGGAUCCCGCGAACCAUCGAGUUUUUGAACGCAAGUUGCGCCCGAAGCCUUCAGGCCGAGGGCACGUCUGCCUGGGUGUCACUCAAACGUCGCCCACACCCCAUCCUCUCCGGAAGGUGUGCGAAUUGGGCGGAAGAUGGCCUCCCGUGUGCUCUCCGCACGCGGUUGGCCCAAAUGUCCGGUCCUCGGCAUCGUCGCCACGGCAAUCGGUGGUUGUACGACCCUCGCUAGACGCUGUGAGCGAUCCGCUGCCGGUGCGAACCACGAGGCCCCGAGGCGUUUCGGAAGACACGCUCGCAAUGCGACC